rnacentral:rRNA from 1 species
CCUACGGGAGGCAGCAGUGGGGAAUAUUGGGCAAUGGAGGAAACUCUGACCCAGCGACGCCGCGUGAGGGAUGAAGGCCUUCGGGUUGUAAACCUCUUUCAGUAGGGAAGAAGCGAAAGUGACGGUACCUACAGAAGAAGCACCGGCUAACUAUGUGCCAGCAGCCGCGGUAAUACAUAGGGUGCAAGCGUUGUCCGGAAUUAUUGGGCGUAAAGAGCUCGUAGGUGGUUCGAUACGUCGGAUGUGAAAAUCAGGGGCUCAACCCCUGACCUGCAUCCGAUACGGUCGAGCUAGAGUUUGGUAGGGGAGACUGGAAUUCCUGGUGUAGCGGUGGAAUGCGCAGAUAUCAGGAGGAACACCGAUGGCGAAGGCAGGUCUCUGGGCCAAUACUGACACUGAGGGGCGAAAGCGUGGGGAGCGAACAGGAUUAGAUACCCUGGUAGUCCACGCCGUAAACGGUGGGCGCUAGUUGUGCGAACCUUCCACGGUUUGUGCGACGCAGCUAACGCAUUAAGCGCCCCGCCUGGGGAGUACGAUCGCAAGAUUAAAACUCAAAGGAAUUGACGG